rnacentral:rRNA from 1 species
GACGUAGGGCGCGAGCGUUGUCCGGAUUUAUUGGGCGUAAAGAGCUCGUAGGCGGCUUGUUGCGUCGACUGUGAAAACCUGCGGCUCAACCGUGUGGUCUGCAGUCGAUACGGGCAGGCUGGAGUUCGGUAGGGGAGACUGGAAUUCCUGGUGUAGCGGUGGAAUGCGCAGAUAUCAGGAGGAACACCAACGGCGAAGGCAGCUCGCUGGGACGGUACUGACGCUAAGGCGCGAAAGCGUGGGGAGCGAACAGG